GCAAUGAAUAUUGGCCUGCUGUGCUGUGUGGCUUUUUGUCUCCUACGAGCAGGUCCAGUGAAUGCUGGUGUCACUCAGACCCCAAUGUUCCAGGUUCUGGAAGCAGGACAGAGCAUGACACUGACAUGUGCCCAGGAUAUGAACCAUGAGGGCAUGUACUGGUAUCGACAAGACCCAGGACUGGGGCUAAAGCUGAUCCAUUACUCAGUGGCUGUUGGUACCUUUAGCAAAGGAGAAGUCCCUGAUGGCUACAGUGUCUCUAGGUCACGUACAGAGAACUUCUCCCUCACGCUGGAGUCAGCUACCCACUCACAGACAUCUGUGUACUUCUGUGCCACCACUUACUCCACAGCGCUACACUACCGUCUUCUGUCUGCACAUAAAGACAGGGCAGGCACUGCCCCUCACCCCACCCCUAACCCAGUGGUGCCUUGGCUGAGUCCUCAGCACCUGUAA